UCCCUAGGUGAACCUGCGGAAGGAUCAUUAAAGAAAAUCAAGGACGCUCUUUUUAGAGGUCCCACCAAAUACAUUUUACCUUUACUCUGUGCACACACUACUCUUUACACCAUUUUUUAACUCUAUAGUUUUAAGAAAGUAAAACAAGUCUCGAAAGAGCAACAUAACAAAACAAAACUUUCGGCAACGGAUCUCUUGGCUCUCGCAUCGAUGAAGAACGCAGCGAAAAGCGAUACGUAAAGUGAAAUGCAGAAAUCAGUGAAACAUCGAAACUUUGAACGCACCUUGCACUCUUUGGUAUUCCCAAGAGUAUGUCUGUUUGAGUGUCAUGAAACUCUCAACCCCCUCAUUUUGUAAAGAAGUGAGUCGUGGGCUUGGAUUAUGGCUGUCUGUCGGCUUCAUUGCCCGCUCAGCUGAAAAACACGAGUAACCCAGUUUGAAAAACUGACGGCUUGACUCGGCGUAAAAAAUAUUAUCGCUGAGGACGUCUAACCUUCAAAACGUUAGUGGUGCUUCUAAAGCAAAACAUUUUAAGAUUUAGACCUCAAAACAGUCAGGAUUACCCCCUGAACUUAAGCAUAUCAAAAAGCGGAGGAAAAG
rnacentral:rRNA from 1 species